UACGUAGGGGGCAAGCGUUGUCCGGAUUUAUUGGGCGUAAAGAGCGUGUAGGCGGCCACACAGGUCUGCUGUGAAAACUCGAGGCUCAACCUCGAGCUGUCGGUGGAAACCGUGUGGCUAGAGUCCGGAAGAGGAGAGUGGAAUUCCCGGUGUAGCGGUGAAAUGCGCAGAUAUCGGGAAGAACACCCGUGGCGAAGGCGGCUCUCUGGAACGGUACUGACGCUGAGACGCGAAAGCGUGGGGAGCGAACAGG
rnacentral:rRNA from 1 species